GUCCUCUUGAUAAUAUUUUGAGGUCCGGUCUGCUCACUGAAUUAUUAAAUAGCCGCGGUAUUUUGACCGUGCAAAGGUAGCAUAAUCAUUAGUCUUUUAAUUUGAGGCUGGAAUGAAUGGUUUGACGAGAAAUUAACUGUCUCUUAAUAAUUAUUAGAAUUUAACUUUUAAGUUAAAAGGCUUAAAUUUUUUUUUAGGACGAGAAGACCCUAUAGAGCUUAACAUAAAUAUUAUAUAUGGUUUAUUGGGAAAUUUUCCCAUAUUUAUUAAUAAUGUUUUGUUGGGGUGACAUGUAAAAUAAUUAAACUUUCCAUUAUUAAAACAUUAAUUAGUGUUUUAUUGAUCCAUAAUUUAUGAUCAUAAGAUUAAGUUACCUUAGGGAUAACAGCGUAAUUGAUUUUAAGAGUUCAUAUCAACAAAUCAGAUUGCGACCUCGAUGUUGGAUUAAGAUAAAUUUUAAGUGCAGUAGCUUAAUAAUUAGGUCUGUUCGACCUUUAAAUUCUU
rnacentral:rRNA from 1 species